UGUUUCUAUUACUGUUUUUUAGUCUAGUAUAUUAAUUAGUAAUAAUUUUUCUGAUUACUCUUGUUGAUGAGGAUGAUGGUCAAGGUGGUCCUAGGUCCUUUUACAAGCAUUUCCAUAUAUACAUUAUAUAAUUUGGCAUAUCUAUGCAUCAAUUUCUCCUUCAUAACAAUGUUCACUGACAUGUGCUGCAGAAGAUGUUCUCGCUUUAUGGGACCUAGACACAAAUGUUCUUGUAGCUGUAAUUGGAGAUACUCUUACAGUGAUUGUCUGAAUAUCAUUAUCUAAUUGUGUUGUGUGUGUAAGUAGACAUUUGACGUGGAUCAUUGCUGAAAAAUGAUUGAUGGUUAUCAUACACAUUAAUUUGUCGUGGAAGCUUACCAAAAGAGAUGAGGCCUUGGUGCAAAGCAAGAGUGCCAUAGAAAAAGGUUUAUUUUUUAGUGUUUUUUUUUUCAUGCAGAAUUCUCUGUUUUCAUUGACGAUUUCAUUGAAUUGAAGUUGGGUUUCUUUGGAAAUUGGUUUGGGAUCUGUUUGAUAGUAUUUUUAUGUUUGUUGAGUUGAAUUCUUGAAGAAAUAAUGACCAAGAAAAGGAGGCGGUUGAUUGAUAAACAGCCCGAUGGCAGUAGUGGAGGUUAUUCGGGUGGGAUCCGUGAUCUUGAAACACAACUUAAGCUUUAUGAUUGAGCUUGCAAAAAUGUUGUUGGCGGAGGGACAAAGUCAUCUUUUUGUACAUUGGCCUGAACAAGGUGUUGAUGAUGAAGAAAAGAAAAGUUUCUUUGAUUAGGUAACUCGGCUUAAUUCAAGCUAUCUAGGUGGUUUGGCAUCAUAUAUUCGAAAUGCUAGGAAUCUAUUAGCAAAUUCAAAAGCAGGGAAAAAUCCAUUUAAUGGCUUUACUCCUUUGGUAAGUGAAUCCAUUAAAUUUGUUUUGCAAUCUGUGUUUCUUGUACAUUUCUGCUGGAAAUUUGUCUUCAAUUUCACUUUUUUUUAAAAAAAAAAUGAGAAAGAUUUCCUCUAUGGCUACGGUCGCAC